UUUCCAACAUAGCAAUAAUUCAGGAUUACUAAAUGAAGCAUUGUUUAAAAAAGACAGCACAAUUCUUUUGCAAAAUACUGAUUGCUAUAAUGGUUAUUUCCCCCUCACUUUCAGGCUUUUGAAGCACUUAAAAGAUUCAUUUAUUAUGCUGGUCAUGGUUUAGAGUGCCAAUCCUCAAGGAUUUUGAAUUACCAGUCUGAUGGACUUCUAUCCCUCUUGUUCAACAUGUGGUUUUCUAGAGCACAUGAAGCCAAGAGUAGUAGCAGAAGAAGCAGGUGUUGUCACACAGCCAGAAAACAACCAGCAGGAGGUAUGGCAAGCAUUUCACAUCUUUUUCAAGGUGCUCCAAGGAAGAGCAAGUCUAAGCAACCUCAUCACAUAAUAAUAACAGAAGAUGAAACAAGAUUUGAAGAGGAUGACUCCCUAAUGGCAGCUGCUGAGCAGUGGCUCAAAUGACCCAAUCCAGAG
rnacentral:lncRNA from 11 species